GUCUGUGUCCCCCUCCCUGUGUCUGUCCGUCCCUCCCCUCUGGUUCUCUGUCUCUCCUUCCCUCUCCAUGUUAGUGAAAGAAAGGACGAGGACCGUAGGAUUCUCUCAGUAGAUGCAGAAAAAGCAUUUGACAAAAUAGACCAUCCUUUCAUGAUGAAAACCUUCUGCCAGGUAUGGAUACCGGGAACAAACCUCAAUUGUCAUAAAAGCCAUCUACAAAAGACCCAGAGGGAACGUCCUCUUCAUUGGCAAAAACCUGGAGCUUUUCCCUUAAGCCCCCUCUCUGCUCUCUGCCAUGUGAGGACACAGCAAGAAGACAGCCAUCAGCAAAUCAGGAAUCAGGCUCUCACCAGAUACCAAAUCUGUUGGUACCUUGAUCUUGGACUUUGCAGCCUCCAGAACUUUGAGAAAUAAAUGCUUGUUGCUUAAGCCUGUCACCCAGUCUCUGACCGUGUUGACCGGCCAGACCGCAGGAGCUAAGAUAAGGAAUCCAGGUCCGAGCAUCGUCCCUGCCCCUCCUGGGGCGAAUUUGUCCACGAAGGCAGCCAGACCUGAGCCAGCCGCGCUGGAGGGGGGCCGGUCCAUACCCCGAGGCAGUAAGAGCACUUGAAACCAGGGUGGCCCCGCAGAAUAAAUUUAUUAUUAAAAAAAUAAAAUGAAAUGAUUGUCAUUAAAAAAAUCUUUUUUUUUAAGAUCUUAUUUAUUCAUGAGAGACGCAGAGAG